rnacentral:lncRNA from 1 species
UAAGGCAGAGUCGGAUAAAAGCCAAGGCAAGGUUAACAAAAUGUGGAAUGAGGCUGUGAGGGUGAAGGACAAGAUCCUGGAAGACUUUGUGAGGGGCAGUUCUUUGAGUUUAGCCACAUGAGAGGGAUAGAAUUUCAAUGUCAGCUGUAGGAGGUGUUCCAGGGAGCGUGAGCAAAGUCGUAGCAGUAGCGUGAAGACUGUGCUCCAAUAUCAGCAAGUCCUACAAUUUCACCUGGACCUAGAGGAGUUGGCAGAGGACCUCAAAAGGUAGAAAAAUAUAUGAACCCUGGUGGGUGGUGUCUGGAGGAUGUCUGAGGCCCAGAAGAAAGAAUUUUUAGGGCUUCUCAAAUAAGGGCAAGCAGGCAGCUGAUGUCUACUCCCUGGAGGCCCCAUGUUGUUGGCUGUGGGA